UUGAUCCAGGGAGGUAGUGACAAGAAAUAACAACCUAGUCGCAAGACAGUGGAUUGUAAUGAGUGCAAUAUAAAACACUGCACGAGGAACAAUUGGAGGGCAAGUCUGGUGCCAGCAGCCGCGGUAAUUCCAGCUCCAAUAGCGUAUAUUAAAGUUGUUGCAGUUAAAAAGCUCGUAGUUGAAUUUCUAGUCAGUUAAUUUGGAGGUCUCCUUCACUUUAGCUGGCUAUUCGACACUGAACCAUAUCGGUUAUUAAGUUAACCCUAUGGAGAAUUGUCAUUUUACUUUGAAAAAAUUAGAGUGUUUCAGGCAGGCAAUUGCCCGGAUAUCUUAGCAUGGAAUAAUGGAAUAGGACUUUGGUUCAUUUUAUUGGUUAUUGAAUCAGAGUAAUGAUUAAUAGGGACAGUUGGGGGCAUUAGUAUUUAAUUGUCAGAGGUGAAAUUCUUGGAUUUAUUAAAGACUAACUUAUGCGAAAGCAUUUGCCAAGGAUGUUUUCAUUAAUCAAGAACGAAAGUUAGGGGAUCAAAGACGAUCAGAUACCGUCCUAGUCUUGACUAUAAACUAUACCGACUCAGGAUUGGCCAUGUUUAAACUUGGUCAGCACUGUAUGAGAAAUUAAAGUCUUUGGGUUCUGGGGGGAGUAUGGUCGCAAGGCUGAAACUUAAAGGAAUUGACGGAAGGGCACCACCAGGAGUGGAGCCUGCGGCUUAAUUUGACUCAACACGGGGAAACUUACCAAGGCCAAACAGAGGUGGGAUUGACAGAUUGAGAGCUCUUUCUUGAUUCUUUGGGUGGUGGUGCAUGGCCGUUCUUAGUUGGUGGAGUGAUUUGUCUGGUUAAUUCCGUUAACGAACGAGACCUUAACCUGCUAACUAGUUUAUAUUCUCACAGAGUAUAAUACUUCUUAGAGGGACUAUAUGUUUUAAGCAUAUGGAAGUUUGAGGCAAUAACAGGUCUGUGAUGCCCUUAGACGCCUUGGGCCGCACGUGCGCUACAAUGACAUGCUCAACGAGCUCUAUCCUGAUUCGGAAGAAUUUGGGUAAUCUUUUUAGGACAUGUCGUGUUAGGGAUCGAUCUUUGGAAUUAUAGAUCUUCUUUGGAAUUAUAGAUCUUGAAGGUGGAAUUCUUAGUAAGUUCAAGUCAUCAGUUUGUACUGAUUACGUCCCUGCCCUUUGUACACACCGCCCGUCGCUGCUACCGAUUUCGAGUGGUCCGGUGAACCACAUGGACUAUUUGGGCAACCGAAUUGGAAGUGUAGUAAACCUUAUCACUUAGAGGAAGCAGAA
rnacentral:rRNA from 1 species